GCUAAUUUGGAACUUGUGCUUGAGCUGUAUGAGAAAAUGUUAGCUGUCCAAAAGGUCAGAUUUGGCGUAUUUCCCUCCUUUUUUGUUUAUGUACAAUUACAAAAUUUUCUUGGAUUUUUUUUUCCUGUUUGGCUUCUGGGAAAAUUUUCUUUGUUAAGAAAGUUGGUUUCUUCACUGCAAUUUUUUGAUGAUUGUUUGGAAAUUUUGCCGUCGCUCUUAUUUAGAUGAAUACACUGUUUGAAAGAUUCCAUGGUCCAGCUUCUUUCUUUCUUUCUUUGUUUUGAUUUCCGUUUUAAUGUAGAUUCCGCAACGACAUGUUUUAAUUGUGACCUACCAUUUGUAUGUUGAUUACACAUUGUUUAGAAAUGGAGUUUCCAAUCAUUUAGAGGGCUGCUUGCAACUGCUUCUCAUUGUUGUUUGGCAAGUGCAUACUCUUUUAGGUGAAUGUUCCAGUAUGCUACAUCCCUGCUGGCUCUUAAAAAUGGGAAAUAAGUUUGAGCAGCCUGCAAAUCUAUGAGCUUGAUGCUACACAGUUGAAUUUAGAGGUUCACGUUGCUUAUGGUUUUCUCGUCAACUAGUGUCUGUUGCACCAAUGGGCACUAGAGCCAAAAGGCAUGUUGGUUUCGCAUAAAAAUAAGGAGAAAAAAAAAAUUAUAUGAAGAAUGGUAAUUAACUAGAUAAAAAUUAAUUUGCUUCUCAGUUUUAUCUAAUUGUCACUUCCAGAUAGCAGGAAGUUGAACGGCUUCGUGGGGAAAGGAAUGUUGUAGCAAACAAGAUGAAAGGAAAGCUAGAGCCAUUGGAGCGCCAAAAACUCGUAAAGGAAGGAAAGAAUCUGAAGGAUGGACUCAUUACUUUGGAAGAAGACCUGCUAAAACUUUCCGAUGAGCUUCAGCAGGAAGCACAAUGUAUACCCAACAUGACCCAUCCUGAUGUUCCAAUUGGAGAGGAAGAUUGUUCAACAAUGAGAAAGAUGGUGGGUAGCCCACAUGAAUUUAGCUUCCCUGUCAAAGACCACCUUCAGCUUGGGAAAGAACUAGAUCUCUUUGAGUUUGAUGCAGCUGCAGAGGUACUCACUCUGUUUAGUUUAAGGUAUUAAAGCAUUUCCUAUAGGCAUUUACUGGACUAUUAAUAAUUGUAACAUAAAAGUUAAUGAUAUAGUUAGGCAUAUAUUGUGUUCUUUCUGUUGACAUUGUUGCAACUGCCAUUUUUCGCAUUAAGUUGGCUUGAAUUGUUUUUUAACCAGAACAGUAAUACGAGUUUGAUAUUAAUUGGUCAAGAAAGUGACCGACUUAAGCCUCACAUGGUUUAAUUGGUGUUCUUCAGUGUUAAUGGCAUUUAAUUGAAAUAAGAUCACCAUAAAAUAUGAUUGAGCUUUUACCAUAUUGAUGACUGCAGCACAAUUUUGGUGUUCUUGGACAAAUGCUUAUUGCAAGUUGCAGCUUUAUUCUCAUACAAGAUUUUUACUUCUUUUGCUCUGAAUCAAAGCUUCAAUAAAAUUUCAUUGGUUUUAGCUACUAAGUCUCUGGAUGGAUUCUGUUUCACAUGCAUUUAAUACUUUGCUUGCCUGUCCAGGUUAGUGGAUCAAAAUUCUAUUAUCUGAAGAAUGAAGCAGUUAUGCUAGAGAUCGGCCUUAUCAAUUGGACUCUCUCUGAAGUCAUGAAAAGGGGCUUUACACCUCUAAUAACCCCGGAACUUGUGAGAUCUUCGGUUGUUGAAAAAUGUGGCUUCCAGCCUCGUGGAGAUAAUACCCAGGUUUGUGGCCAUUUGGUUUUUAUUACCUUUAUUUUUAUCUUAAUUUUUUACUUAACAGGAAUGGUCAAAUAUGAAGCUCAUAAAAAAGCUAUCUUUAAAUAUUUUGGCCAUAAAGUGGAAGCAUUAUGGUUUGGAUCUUUUAUGCCCUUGCUUUAGGGUCUAGGUUCAGUGAUGAAGAGCCAAUCAAACAGAGAGUGCUCGAGUCCUUUUUAUUUCUAGAUUGUGCAAAGUUAAGGCAAUAUGAUGAUUUGGUGACACUUGACAGGUUUACUCUGUUGAGGAAAGUGAUCAGUGCCUGAUUGGUACUGCAGAGAUUCCUGUGGGAGGAAUUCAUAUGGAUUCUAUCCUUGUGGAAUCAAUGUUGCCAUUGAAGUAUGUGGCAUUUUCCCAUUGCUUCCGUACAGAGGCAGGUGCUGCAGGCGCAGCUACAAGGUAUCUGAGCAUUAUUCAUUUCAUUGCAGAGACCUAAUUUUGUUUUAAGAAUUUCCCAACAACAAUAUAUUGCCCCAACUCUCUAAAUCAUUUUUGGAUGUUUAUCAACAUGAGACAUGUUUGCAUUUUGAUUUUUCAUUUAUCCAACAUGUUUUUAUGAGAUAAUCUAAGUCUUGAAUGUCAGCCUCAUUUGCUGGGAGUCCUACAUUCAAAAAGUUUUGAUUGCACACACAUGGUCUAUGUUAUCUUCAGCUAUUGCUGAUAAAUUAUUUUGGGCUUCUGUAUUAGUUUCCAUUACAAGUGACAAAAUCCAUUCAUCCAUUGGUCAUGAUUCUUCUAUCACAAUCUCUUGAUUUUUUUUCCUGUCUUGGGGAAGGCUUUUGUGCCACUAAACACAUGCCAUUUGUCCACCUGCUGUGGUAUGGAAUUUAUUGCUCAUUAAAUGAAAUAAUGGCAUUUCUGGGCAGGGGCCUUUAUCGAGUUCACCAGUUCAGCAAGGUGGAAAUGUUCAUUCUAUGCCAGCCAGAGGAGAGUGAAUCUCAUCAUGAAGAGCUUAUCAAAAUUGAAGAAGAACUUUUCUCUUCGUUGGGUUUACAUUAUAAGUAGGUGGUCCUGCCAAUCUUCAUUAAGUCAGACUAUUUUGUUUUGCCAUGUAUCUGUUUAACAUUUGGUUGUCGGGCAGAACUAUAGAUAUGGCUUCAGGAGAUUUAGGUGCACCUGCUUACCGCAAAUUUGAUGUAGAGGCAUGGAUGCCUGGCUUAGGACGUUAUGGUGAGGUAUGGAAUUAUAUAUUUUGCUCGUCUUUCUCCUCCAAGAAAUCAUUUCCUGUGGAUUUAGUCUGCUUUGCAUCUAUUUCUGAUUAAUAGUUGCCUGCAGUGCAAUGUUGAAACAUUUAAUUCUCUAACAAUGGUGUUUUCUUCAACAGAUAUCAAGUGCAUCCAAUUGUACAGACUAUCAAAGUCGCCGACUAGGAAUUCGAUAUCGUCCAUCAGAAUCAUCAACAAAUCCUAAAAAGAGUAAAGGCAAACUUGCUCCGACAAAGUUUGUUCACACGUUAAAUGCAACAGCUUGUGCUAUUCCACGGAUGAUAAUAUGUUUGUUGGAGAACUACCAACAAAAAGAUGGUUCUGUCGUUAUCCCUGUGCCACUGAGGCCGUUCAUUGGAGGGCUGGAACGUAUAGCUCCUAAAUUCCCACAGGAUGAGUAGAUUAUUUUGUUUGAUUUUCAGUUGGGAACUAUAUUUGGAGCUAAAAUUAUUGACAAAUUUUUACAUUUUAAUGCAUUUGGCUACAAAGAGAACUGAAAAAUGUCAAAAUUUGUCAUUACAAAAGAAUAAGCAUUUUUGUCCUGCAGGAAAAUGUCUUGCACUGCUUUGCAAUUGUUUGCAUGUGAUGGGGGUGAGUGAUGGCGUAGCAAUAGCGGGCAGUCACCCCCACUAUUUCGCACCGUGAAUGUACGGAUAUUGUAGAAUUAAACCAAAACUUGACUUGCUU
rnacentral:misc_RNA from 1 species